CAUCAAUACCAUCAAACCCUCCUCGAGGUGGUGGAUACGACCCCACCCCUCCGACCACUGGAGGCAGCCCGCCUACACCAGUGAUCAGUGUAAGCCCUCCUCGAGGUGGUGGAUACGACCCCACCCCUCCGACCACUGGAGGCAGCCCGCCUACACCAGUGAUCAGUGUAAGCCCACCAACCACCCCAAGUAUCAUUCCAGGCACCCCUUUCACCCCCACGCCUCCUUUCAUUCCUGAUCCUAAUUCACCCUUCUCAUGCAAGUAAGUUUCUAUUAUUCACCUCGAAUCUAAACUAUAUGAAAUGUAUUAAAUAUAUACAUCUAUCAUCAUGCAGUGUCCAUAUAUUAACAACU
rnacentral:lncRNA from 1 species